rnacentral:rRNA from 1 species
AUUGAACGCUGGCGGCAUGCCUUACACAUGCAAGUCGAACGGCAGCGGGGGAGAAGCUUGCUUUUCCUGCCGGCGAGUGGCGAACGGGUGAGUAAUACAUCGGAACGUGCCCUGUAGUGGGGGAUAACUAGUCGAAAGAUUAGCUAAUACCGCAUACGACCUGAGGGUGAAAGUGGGGGACCGCAAGGCCUCAUGCUAUAGGAGCGGCCGAUGUCUGAUUAGCUAGUUGGUGGGGUAAAGGCCUACCAAGGCGACGAUCAGUAGCUGGUCUGGGAGGACGAUCAGCCACACUGGGACUGAGACACGGCCCAGACUCCUACGGGAGGCAGCAGUGGGGAAUUUUGGACAAUGGGCGAAAGCCUGAUUCAGCAAUGCCGCGUGUGUGAAGAAGGCCUUCGGGUUGUAAAGCACUUUUGUCCGGAAAGAAAUGGCUCUGGUUAAUACCUGGGGUCGAUGACGGUACCGGAAGAAUGAGGACCGGCUAACUACGUGCCAGCCGCCGCCGUAA